UGGGGGUGGUCUCUAGCCAAGG
rnacentral:miRNA from 1 species